rnacentral:misc_RNA from 1 species
GAUGAAGAACGCAGCGAACUGCGAUAAGUAAUGUGAAUCGCAGAAUUCAGUGAAUCAUCGAGUCUUUGAACGCACAUUGCGCCCCCUGGCAUUCCGGGGGGCAUGCCUGUCCGAGCGUCAUUGCUGCCCUUCAAGCCCGGCUUGUGUGUUGGGUCGUCGUCCCCCCCGGGGGACGGGCCCGAAAGGCAGCGGCGGCACCGCGUCCGGUCCUCGAGCGUAUGGGGCUUUGUCACCCGCUCGAUUAGGGCCGGCCGGGCGCCAGCCGGCGUCUCCAACCUUCUAUUUUACCAGGUUGACCUCGGAUCAGGUAGGGAUACCCGCUGAACUUAAGCAUAUCAAUAAGCGGAGGA